GACGAACGCUGGCGGCGUGCCUAAUACAUGCAAGUCGAGCGAACAGACGAGGAGCUUGCUCGUCUGACGUUAGCGGAGGACGGGAGAGUAACACGUGUAUAACCUACCUAUCAGACUGGGAUAAUUUCGGGAAACCGGAGCUAAUACCGUAGAACAUGUUGAACCGCAUGGUGCAACAGUGAAAGACGGUCUUGGGGUCACUUAUAGCUGGAUCCGCGCCGGAUUAGCUGGUUGGUAAGGUAAAGGCUUACCAAGGCAACGAUGCGUAUCCGACCUGAGAGGGUGAUCGCCCACAUGGGAGCGGAGACACGGUCCAGACGCCUACGAGAGGCAGCAGUAGGGAACCUGCCGCAAUGGGCGAGAGCCUGACAGAGCAACGCGGCGUGAGUGAAGAAGGUCUUCGGAUCGGAAAGCUCUGUUAUUAGGGAAGAACAAAUGUGUAAGUAACUGGGCACGUAUUGACGGUACCGAGUCAAAAAGCCCCGGCUAACUACGUG
rnacentral:rRNA from 1 species